GACGAACGCUGGCGGCGUGCUUAACACAUGCAAGUCGAGCGGAGCGGCGAACGGGUGAGUAACGCGUGAGUCACUGCCCCCCUCUCUGGGAUAACAGUUGGAAACGGCUGCUAAUACCGGAUAGUGGGGGAUGACUCGCGUCCUAUCAGCUUGUGGGGGGGGUAGUGGCCCACCAAGGCGACAACGGGUAGACGGCCUGAGAGGGCGACCGGCCACAGUGGGAUGAUGUACGGCCGAAACUCGUACGGGAGGCAGCAGUGGGGAAUAUUGCACAAUGGGGGAAACGCUGAUGCAGCAACGCCGCGUGCGGGAGGACGGCCUUCGGGUUGUAAACCGCUUUCAGCCAUGACGCGGUAGUGGCAGAAGAAGCACCGGCUAACUACGUGCCAGCAGCCGCGGUAAUUC
rnacentral:rRNA from 1 species